rnacentral:rRNA from 1 species
ACGGCAGCACAGAGAAGUCUUCUCUUCUCGGGCGGCGAGCGGCGAAACGGGCGAGUCACAUAUCGGAAACGUACCGAGCCAGCGGGGGAUAAACUAAUCGAAAAGAAUAGCUAAUACCGCAUAUUUUUCUGAGGAAGAAAAGCAGGGGACCAUUUCGGCCUUCGCGCUCGUUUCGAGCGGCCGAAUAUCUGAUUAGCUAGUUCGGUCGGGGUAAAAGGCCUACCAAGGCGAACGAUCAGUAGCGGGUCUGAAGAGGAUGAUUCCGCCACACUGGGACUGAGACACGGCCCAGACUCCUACGGGAGGCAGCAGUGGGGAAAUUUUUGGACAAUGGGCGCCAAGCCUGAUCCCAGCCAUGCCGCGUGUCUGAAGAAAGGCCUUUCGGGUUUGUAAAGGACUUUUGUCAGGGAAAGAAAAGGGCGGGGUUAAUACCCCUGUCUGAAUGACGGUACCUGAAGAAUAAGCACCGGCUAACUACGUGCCAGCCAGCCGCGGUAAUACGUAGGGUGCGAGCCGUUAAUCGGGAAUUACUGGGCGUAAAGCGGGCGCCAGACGGUUACUUAAGCAGGAUGUGAAAUCCCCGGGCUCAACCUGGGAACUGCGUUCUGAACUGGGUAACUAGAGUGUGUCAGAGGGAGGUAGAAUUCCACGUGUAGCAGUGAAAUGCGUAGAGAUGUGGAGGAAUACCGAUGGCGAAGGCAGCCUCCUGGGAUAACACUGACGUUCAUGCCCGAAAGCGUGGGUAGCAAACAGGAUUAGAUACCCUGGUAGUCCACGCCCUAAACGAUGUCGAUUAGCUGUUGGGCAGCAUGACUGCUUAGUAGCGAAGCUAACGCGUGAAAAUCGACCGCCUGGGGAGUACGGUCGCAAGAUUAAAAACUCAAAAGGAAAUUGACGGGGACCCGCACAAGCGGUGGAUGAUGUGGAUUAAAUUCGAUGCAAACGCGAAGAACCUUACCUGGUCUUGACAUGUACGGAAACCCUCCAGAGACGGAGGGGUGCCUUCGGGAGCCGUAACACAGGUGCUGCAUGGCUGCCGUCAGCUCGUGUCGUGAGAUGUUGGGUUAAGUCCCGCAACGAGCGCAACCCUUGUCAUUAGUUGCCAUCAUUAAGUUGGGCGACUCUAAUGAGACUGCCGGUGACGAAGCCGGAGGAAGGUGGGGAUGACGUCGAAGUCCUCAUGGCCCUUAUGACCAGGGCUUCACACGUCAUACGAAUGGUCGGUACAGAGGGUAGCCGAAGCCGCGAGGUGGAGCCGAAUUCUCGACGAAAACCGAAUUCGUAGUUCCGGAUUGCGCUCUGCGAACUCGAGUGCGUGAA